GGGGACGGGAAUAGGAAAGACAGAAUGAAUCGGACAUCACUUUUCUAUGUUCGUAUUUGAAUAUCUGACCAGUGAAGCUCCACAUCCGGUACAACCAAAAGAAUGGGGAGGGGUCAGCUGCUCUGGACUUGGAGUUGGAAGAUGGAUCUGAAAUCCUGAUUAAGAUUUCUGUGGACUUGUAAAAUACAGCUGUGCCAUCCUGGAUAACUUGCAUGACAUUUCUGUACCUCUGUGGGUCCUCUCCAGAGCUUCCUCCAGGGUCACAGGUCUCCACAGUUUUCUCAAAGGACAGAGGAGGUGACCAGGAGGCUGAAAAGCAUCUGGAUUCUGUCUCAGGAAUCAUUAGAAGAUGUGCUUCAUCAGAACAAGCCCAGAAAUCAAGACGGGAAGACAGAGGGUUUGGCAAGCAGGGAUACCGCACAACACAGAGGGGUCUCAGAGAAAAUGUAUCCAGGGAAAUAAGCGGAGGACAACUCUAAAUGGACCGUCCCAGGGAGAAACAAAAGAAAUGUCUGAUUAGUUGAAUCAUUUGGAAAGUAGUAUUAACAAUGUGUGUAACAGACACGUUGUUACAUUUGUUUUAAAACAAGUAAAGUACUCAGAGAAAACCAAAUGUAUGAAAAAUAAUAAAAAAUAAUAAAAACAAGCUUUCAAGAAAAGGAAAGAGGAUCAUGAUGUACAACUUGACUAAUGAGUG